GAUGAACGCUGGCGGCGUGCCUAAUACAUGCAAGUCGAGCGAACAGACGAGGAGCUUGUUCCUUUGACGUUAGCGGCGGACGGGUGAGUAACACGUGGAUCACCUACUUAUAUGACUGGGAUAAUUUCGGAAAACCGGAGAUAAUACCGGAGAAUAUAUUGAACCGCAUGGUGCAAUGGUGAAUGACGGCUUUCGUGUCUCAUAUAGAUGGUUCCGCGCCGCAUUAGCUAGUUGGUAAGGUAACGGCUUACCAAGGCAACGAUGCGUAGCCGACCUGAGAGGGUGAUCGGCCACACUGGAACUGAGACACGGUCCAGACUCCUACGGGAGGCAGCAGUAGGGAAUCUUCCGCAAUGGGCGAAAGCCUGACGGAGCAACGCCGCGUGAGUGAUGAAGGUCUUCGGAUCGUAAAGCUCUGUUAUUAGGGAAGAACAGAUGUGUGAGUAACUAUGCACGUCUUGACGGUACCUAAUCAGAAAGCCACGGCUAACUACGUG
rnacentral:rRNA from 1 species